GCUUGUCUCAAAGAUUAAGCCAUGCAUGUCUAAGUAUAAAUAAUUCUAUACUGUGAAACUGCGAAUGGCUCAUUAUAUCAGUUAUAGUUUAUUUGAUAGUCCCUUACUACUUGGAUAACCGUAGUAACUCUAGAGCUAAUACAUGCAUCAAGCCCCGACUUCUGGAAGGGGUGUAUUUAUUAGAUGGAAACCAAUGCGGGGCAACCCGGUAUAUGGUGAUUCAUAAUAACUUUCGGAUCGAUUUAUCGAUGCAUCAUUCAAGUUUCUGCCCUAUCAGCUUUGGAUGGUAGGGUAUUGGCCUACCAUGGCUUUAACGGGUAACGGAGAAUUAGGGUUCGAUUCCGGAGAGGGAGCCUGAGAAAUGGCUACCACAUCCAAGGAAGGC
rnacentral:rRNA from 1 species